UGUUACAUGUCAUAGUAAAAUAACAUCAACUAGCGAAACAUGUUUAAAACUAUCCCUAGAUAUAUUUUGUGCGUUUGGUCAUUGAUAUUGUGUGUUGAUGGCCAAUGUCAUUCGAAAUGGAAACUUCUUGGAUUUCGAGAUGUCUUCGUUUCAGGACAUAUCGACAACUCGACUGUUUCUACCUUCGAGGAUUGCGUAUCUUUAUGUAUUAAUACAAUUAACUGUAAAUCUGUGGGAAUAACUAGUAUAUAUGUAGGUAAUAUGAUGUGUUAUCUAUAUGAUGUUAAAGUAUAUUCUGGACAAGAAUCUGAAAAUAAAACUGGAAUGGUAUAUUACUGGCCCUUAAAAGAUUCCGCUCAAGUACCGUCAACUUAUACCUGUGUAGAAGAAGAGAAGUAUUGUUAUGUAUUGUACAGCAUUGCAGAAAGCUGGCAGGGAGCACAGAGGGUCUGUGAAGCUGAUGGGGGUUAUUUGCUCCUUGUCAAUUCAGAUAAAAAGUAUGAAACAGUAAAAAAGAAAGCCCAAGCCAAUGGAGGUUCUACUUCUGAUAUGACGUAUUAUCAUGUGGGAGCAACAGAUGAACACAUAGAAGAUGUGUGGAACUGGUUAGAUGGGGGUCCAGUUAUUAGAAGCUAUUUUAUUCCAAAUCGACCAGACAAUUAUGGCAAUAAUCAACAUUGUUUGUCUUUCAUGACAGGCAGUAGUAACGUUGGUUUGGAUGAUCGUCCAUGCACAUCUUUAAACGGCUUUUUCUGUGAAAUAUCUUUAUCCUAGGUAAAGGUUAAGCCUACAAUUUAAAAAAUAGUAGGUUCGUCCAAACAAUAGAAAUAUCAAAUAAAUACAUUGGAAAUGAAAACAUUAAAUAUUAUUGUUGGAUUAUAACUAAACAUUAUUAGCUAUGUUAUUGCGUAACAUGUUUUUGCUAGCUAGCAUUCAAUAUGAAGUUCAAACGGAAUCUUUGAUGUUAUAAUGAGAAAUAAUAAAGAGUAUGUGUUGUUGGCAACCGUGGGACUAUUUGCCAGUGGUGAGAGAGAA